ACAAACUACUUCUGCCGCACGAGGGAUUUGUACGACACAGGAGAAUGUCAGAGACUAAGCAAAUUUGAAUAGACCUCUGAGUAAAUAUUUCCCUUUUGGAGUUUUCAGGACUUUCUGUCCCGCUGUUUUAUGGGGGAGGCGGGGGAAGACACGCAGACAUCAAUUCGACUAAACAAAAUUUAUCAAUAAUAUUAAAAAUAAAAAGUAAAGCCCCUUUCUGAACAUUAUGGCUUAUUCCUUGAUUAUCCUUCUUAAUGCCACAGCGUGGCUAUCUCAGAACAAAAUUAGAGACUAACAGUAAAUUUACUUUAAUUUUUACGAAUAAUUCUCUAUCAAUGUAAAAAUUUUUCAUAUACGCGUGUAUGAAAGAAAAACACUACUAUUUUUCCACAUGCGUGAAAACUGCUUAACUGGGACAGUAACCGAGCGGCCAGUGAAUAUUUAAAAUACUGUAACCGACGAAUACGUAUGCCUCUAGGACCACGUGGAAUCUUUCCCAUGAGACAGGAUUUCACCAUGUUGCCCAGGCUGGUCUCAAAACUCCUGAAUUCAAGCAGUCCGCCCGCCUCUGCCUCCCAAACUGUUGAGAUUACAGGCGUGAGCCACCGCACCCAGCCUCAAGAAUGUCUUAAAUAAUGUAUGUACUAUUUUAUCAGUUUACACCCUCACUAGCAUUGAUGAGUUUUCUUUGUUCCACAUUCUCUCCAACACAAGAUAUGGUCAGACUCUUACCAUUUUUACCACUGUGAAAAUUGCAAUUUACAUUUCCCUAACAAAGUGGUGCAUUCUUCCAUACUUACGAAACCUUAUUUCCUCUUCUGUGAACUGUCCACUCUUACCUUUUAUAAAGUUUGCUAUGGAGUUUUCUUUCACAAAUGAUGUGUACGUCAUUAGAUAGCCUGCUCUAUUCAUUCACCUGUAUAAACUAAAACUAAACUCCUAAGUCAGCCAUCAAGAGAAUAGGCCCCCUUGUGGCCAAGGGGAUCCUAGAAAACCUUAAAACUGAGUUCUAGACCGCGAUGGGACAGGUUAGACACACCUUGUUUUACUCCCUCCCUUUUGUGGUUCAACACAACAACUGGCCAGCAUUAAUGUUAAAACAGAGAUGAUAAGACUGACAGAACAGACUCUGGCAAUAAGAUGCCAAAUUAUAAAAAAAGACCUAAAGCCAUUCCAGGCAAGGUUUUAGUCCCACACCCCUAUACUUAAAGAAUAAACUGUGUUCUAACUGCCACAAGAUUCUUCUCUAGCAGCUAAACAAGUACUGGCCUAAAGAUAAACAAUAUUAAAAUAAUGUGCAGCUCCACGAGAUGCUGACUUACUGACCCCCAGUCCCCGUUCCACCAGCCAUAGCUACAGCUUUCAUUGGACAACGUUUUGUUGAUUUCAGUAACUUUCUCCAGAUAAGAAGACCACUGGCCAUGGACUGGUUCUGGCUGGUCUACAGAGGUCGCACAUUUGUGUGGCUUCAUGUCCUGAAAGACCUUUUGACGUAUAGGGCUCGUAAUACAUUUAAAUGUUAAGUCUUGGCUGGGUGUGGUGGCUCACGCCUGUAAUCCCAGCACUUUGGGAGGCCCAGGUGGGAAGAUCACGAGGUCAGGAGCUUGAGACCAGCCUGGCCAACAUGGGGAAACCCCAUCUCUACUAGAAAUACGAAAAUUAGCCAGGCGUGGGGGCAGGUUCCUGUAAUCCCAGCUACUCAGGAGGCUGAGGCAGGAGUAUCGCUUGAAACCGGGAAGUGGAGGUUACAGUGAGCUGAGAUCACAUCGUUGCAGUCCAGCCUGGGUGACAGAGCAAGACUCUGUCUCAACAACAACAACAAAAAAGUUAAGUCUCCAUCCCAAAGUGAAUAUGGGUCAUAUGUUACAUGAGUUUUUGUUCAAUACGCAUGUGUCAGGACCACUUUCAUGAAUAUUCAUAGCUCUUCCUGUAACCGGGUGAAAAUGUAGGUUUAGCCAACCUGUUCAGCCUAAACUACACUCCAAGCCCUCCUCCUUCAAAGCGCCUGUUUCUGGAGGCACGCUUCCCAGCCUGCAGGAUGGCCACCUUGCAGGCCAUAAAGUCUCCCCUUCUUUUCUAAAUUUAUUCAU